UUAGUCGUGUCUAACCCUGCUCUCUCUCUCUCUCUGUCUGUUUGGGUCUUUCUACCUGCUGUCAGUCUCUCUCUCUCUCUCUCUGUCUGUUUGGGUCUUUCUACCUGCUGUCAGUCUCUCUCUCUCUCUCUCUGUCUGUUUGGGUCUUUCUACCUGCUGUCAGUCUCUCUCUCUCUCUCUCUGUCUGUUUGGGUCUUUCUACCUGCUGUCAGUCUCUCUCUCUCUCUCUCUGUCUGUUUGGGUCUUUCUACCUGCUGUCAGUCUCUCUCUCUCUCUCUCUGUCUGUUUGGGUCUCUCUACCUGCUGUCAGCUCUCUCUCUCUCUGUCUGUCUGGGUCUCUCUACCUGUUGUCAGUCUCUCUCUGUCUGUUUGGGUCUUUCUACCUGCUGUCAGUCUCUCUGUCUCUGUCUGUUUGGGUCUCUCUACCUGCUGUCAGUCUCUCUCUCUCUGUCUGUCUGGGUCUCUCUACCUGCUGUCAGUCUCUCUCUCUCUCUGUCUGCUUGGGUCUUUCUACCUGCUGUCAGUCUCUCUCUCUCUGUCUGCUUGGGUCUUUCUACCUGCUGUCAGUCUCUCUCUCUCUCUGUCUGUUUGGGUCUUUCUACCUGCUGUCAGUCUCUCUCUCUCUCUCUGUCUGUCUGGGUCUCUCUACCUGCUGUCAGUCUCUCUGUCUGUUUGGGUCUUUCUACCUGCUGUCAGUCUCUCUCUCUCUCUGUCUGCUUGGGUCUUUCUACCUGCUGUCAGUCUCUCUCUCUCUCUGUCUGUUUGGGUCUCUCUACCUGCUGUCAGUCUCUCUCUCUCUGUCUGCUUGGGUCUUUCUACCUGCUGUCAGUCUCUCUCUCUCUGUCUGUUUGGGUCUCUCUACCUGCUGUCAGUCUCUCUGUCUGCUUGGGUCUUUCUACCUGCUGUCAGUCUCUCUGUCUGCUUGGGUCUCUCUACCUGCUGUCAGUCUCUCUGUCUCUCUGUUCUGUGGUCUGGGGGAACAUGAAUCAUCAUGUUAAAUUAGGAGGCUGCAGAACAAAGCAACAAGGAUUGUUUUUAAAGGUGGAGAUCUGGUUCCUCUGUUUGUAG
rnacentral:lncRNA from 8 species